GAAAGAUCCAGCGUCGUAACGUCAUGGUCGAAGAAAAGAUCAUCCCUCUGGCAUACAUUCUAGAGGAUGUGUUGCUGAUACAAAAAAGAAAGUGGGGGAGUGCGUGAGGAGCUGGCUGCCACCUGUUGGCCUUGGAGGACCGUCCUGUCCCAAACCACGCCGCAUUCUUCCGAAGUUUGGCCAGCUGGACAAUGUGACUACCAUAGCAAGUGCGGAUGCAUCUGCCUCUAACGACCUUGCUGAGCCCGGUGAGUUGUCAAAGAUAAACUGGCUCAUCUUCAAGACGCCGAUACCAACCUGUGUGCGACCACUGCUAUCCCGAUGAGUGCUACGUGAAAGCACUAGCGGGCUGGUCACGCCCUGCCUACAGCGACUACACCCAUGCCCAGAGCACCAUGAUCCAGCCGCAAUGCUGUAGCCCACCUGUGUGCUACAACUGCAGGGCUCAGGGAUACAAUGCCAGCUACCUCGAGAACACACGUACGGACCAAGGAAUCACUCCCAGUGUCUGACCGCAGCUUGUCUCCACCGCCGACUCGGACACGCCGAUCGCCAUUUCCACGUCGCCGUUCACGUACGCCUCCCGAGAUGAGAAACUAGCUGGUGCGACCGAUGGAGGUGAGGUCGCGGUACGUUCACUUAUGCAAAUGCCUCCACCUGUCGUCAUGUCAAAGAACAAAGUGUGGGUUUGUGUCGACCGUGUAACACUGCCGCUUUGGUGGAUACCGGUGCUUCCGUGUCUGCA